rnacentral:rRNA from 1 species
UACAGAGGUCCCAAGCGUUGUUCGGAUUCACUGGGCGUAAAGGGUGCGUAGGUGGCCAGGUAAGUUCGGUGUGAAAGCUCGGAGCUUAACUCCGAAAUGGCAUUGAAUACUAUCUGGCUGGAGGGUCGGAGGGGAGACUGGAAUUCUCGGUGUAGCAGUGAAAUGCGUAGAUAUCGGGAGGAACACCAGUAGCGAAGGCGGCUCGCUGGGCCAUACCUGACGCUGAGACGCGAAAGCGUGGGGAGCAAACAGG